GUUUGGUGUUGUCCUGCUCUGGAUGGCAGCAUAUGUUGCUCCAAAAUGUGUACAUAUCUUUUUGUAUUAAUGAUGCCCUCACAGAUAUGAAGGUUACCCAUGCCAUGUGCCCUGACACACCCCCAUACCAUGACAGACGCUGGAUUUUGGACAUGACGCUGAUAACAGCUUUGAGGGUCCAUUUCCUCUUUGGCCUGGAGAACACAACGGCUGUUUUGUCCAAAAACUAUUUGAUAUGUUGACUCGUUGGACCACAAAACACGAUUCCGCUGUGCUACUGUCCAUCUUAGAUGACAGCGAGUCCAGAGAAGUCGGCGGUGCUACAGGACAGUGUUGAUGUCUGGCUUCUGCUUUGCAUAAUAAAGGCUUAACUUGCAUCUGUGGAUGCAGCGGCGAAUGGUGUUGACUGACGAAGGUUUACCAAAGUAUUCCUGAGCCUUUGUCAGGAUAUCCAUUACAGACUCAUGACGGUUUUUAAGACAGUGACGUCUGAGGGAUUGGAGAUCACGCACAUUCAGUAGUGGUUUUCGGCCUUGCCCUAUACGCACCGAGAUUUGACCAGAUUCCUUAAAUCUUUUAAUUAUAUUGUGCACUGUAGAAGAUGAAUUGCCUAAAAUCCUACCAAUUUGCCUUUGGGGAAUGUUGUUCUCAAAGAGUUGGAUUAUUCGCUGACGCAUCUGUUGGCAGAUUGGCGAGCCUCGACCCAUCCUUACUCUUGAAGGACUAGGCCUUUUUUGCUGUUAGUCCUAAAUUGCCCCAGUCCCAACCUUUUUUGGAACGUGGUCCAUGCAUCAAUUUCAAAAUAAACGUUUACCUUCAAAAAAACUAUACAGUUGACUAGCUAGAACACCAUAUUCCUUGUCUUUAUAGGUUUUUUGUUUAAAUACAAGUCAAAGUACAUUUACAAAUCUUUGUUUGGUACAGAUACAGAUGCAGAUACAGAUACAGGUACAGAUACAGAUACAGGUACAGAUACAGGUGCAGAUACAAGUACAGAUACAGGUGCAGAUACAGAUACAGACACAGGUGCAGAUACAGGUACAGAUGCAGGUACAGAUGCAGGUGCAGAUACAGAUACAAAUACAGGUACAGAUACAGAUACAGGCAUUGUGUUAUACCUUGAAAAGGC
ensembl:lncRNA